rnacentral:rRNA from 1 species
ACGGGUGAGUAUAACAUAGGAAUUUGCCUUCAGGUGGGGGGACAACUUGAGGAAACUCAAGCUAAUACCGCAUAUACCUUACGAGGGAAAGCAUGGGAUCUUUUAGACCAUGUGCCGGAAGAGAAGCCUAUGCCGGAUUAGCUAGUUGGUAGGGUAAAGGCCUACCAAGGCGAUGAUCCGUAGCUGGUCUGAGAGGAUGAUCAGCCACACUGGGACUGAGACACGGCCCAGACUCCUACGGGAGGCAGCAGUGGGGAAUAUUGGACAAUGGGCGCAAGCCUGAUCCAGCAAUGCCGCGUGUGUGAAGAAGGCCUGCGGGUUGUAAAGCACUUUCAGAGGGGAGGAAGGCAUUAGUUCUAAUAGGGCUGAUGAUUGACGUUACCUUCAGAAGAAGCACCGGCUAACUCUGUGCCAGCAGCCGCGGUAAUACAGAGGGUGCAAGCGUUAAUCGGAAUUACUGGGCGUAAAGGGUGUGUAGGUGGUAAGAUAAGUUAGGUGUGAAAUCCUCGGGCUUAACCUGAGAACUGCGCUUAAUACUGUCUAGCUAGAGUAUUGUAGAGGGCAGUGGAAUUUCC